rnacentral:rRNA from 1 species
AAGCACAUCAAGGAGAGAAGAGGUCAAUGUUCACCAUAUGUUGCUAGAUGGGUGUAUUCACAUGGCAUACCAUUUAAUGCUCUUGACAAUGAUGAGUUUUGUCAAAUGUGUGAGGCCAUAGGCAAAUUUGGUCCUGGAUAUGAGCCUCCUACUCAAUAUGAGCUUAGGGAGAAGUUGUUGAGUGAUGAAUAUGCAAGGACCAAGAGUUUGUUAGAUGAACGUGAGAAGGAGAAGAUAAAGCUUGGGUGCACCAUCAUGACAGAUGCAUGGACGGACAUGAAGAGGAGGAGCAUAAUGAAUUUGUGCAUGCAUUGUAGUGGGGGGACAAGUUUUCUCAAAUCAAAGGAAACAUCUGAUGUGUCACAUACAAGUGAAGUCAUAUUUCAGCUAGUGGACAGCACAAUUGAGGAGGUAGGGGCGGAGCAUGUGAUGCAAGUGGUGACCGACAAUGCUUCCAAUAACAUGGGAGCCAAGAAAAUGUUGCUUGAGAAGAGGCCGAAGAUCUUUUGGAGCUCUUGUGCAACUCACACUAUCAACUUGAUGCUCCAAUGA